CCCAGACUCCUACGGGAGGCAGCAGUGGGGGAUAUUGCACAAUGGGGGGAACCCUGAUGCAGCGACGCCGCGUGGGUGAAGGAGCGUUUCGGCGCGUAAAGCCCUAUCGGCAGGGAAGAAGGAGGACGGUACCUGACUAAGAAGCCCCGGCUAACUACGUGCCAGCAGCCGCGGUAAUACGUAGGGGGCAAGCGUUAUCCGGAUUUACUGGGUGUAAAGGGGGCGCAGACGGCAGCGCAAGCCAGGAGUGAAAGCCCGGGGCCCAACCCCGGGACUGCUCUUGGAACUGCGCGGCUGGAGUGCAGGAGGGGCAGGCGGAAUUCCUGGUGUAGCGGUGAAGUGCGUAGAUAUCAGGAGGAACACCGGUGGCGAAGGCGGCCUGCUGGACUGCGACUGACGUUGAGGCCCGAAAGCGUGGGGAGCAAACAGGAUUAGAUACCCCAGUAAC
rnacentral:rRNA from 1 species